rnacentral:rRNA from 1 species
GACGAACGCUGGCGGCGUGCUUAACACAUGCAAGUCGAACGGAAAGGCCCUGCUUUUGUGGGGUGCUCGAGUGGCGAACGGGUGAGUAACACGUGAGUAACCUGCCCUUGACUUUGGGAUAACUUCAGGAAACUGGGGCUAAUACCGGAUAGGAGCUCCUGCUGCAUGGUGGGGGUUGGAAAGUUUCGGCGGUUGGGGAUGGACUCGCGGCUUAUCAGCUUGUUUGUGGGGUAGUGGCUUACCAAGGCUUUGACGGGUAGCCGGCCUGAGAGGGUGACCGGCCACAUUGGGACUGAGAUACGGCCCAGACUCCUACGGGAGGCAGCAGUGGGGAAUAUUGCACAAUGGGCGGAAGCCUGAUGCAGCAACGCCGCGUGCGGGAUGACGGCCUUCGGGUUGUAAACCGCCUUCGCCUGUGACGAAGCGUGAGUGACGGUAAUGGGUAAAGAAGCACCGGCUAACUACGUG